rnacentral:rRNA from 1 species
UACGUAGGGUGCGAGCGUUAAUCGGAAUUACUGGGCGUAAAGCGUGCGCAGGCGGUUCGUUGUGUCGGCGGUGAAAGCCCCGGGCUUAACCUGGGAAUGGCCGUUGAAACUGGCGAACUGGAGUGUGGCAGAGGGGGGUGGAAUUCCACGUGUAGCAGUGAAAUGCGUAGAGAUGCGGAGGAACACCGAUGGCGAAGGCAGCCCCCUGGGCUAACACUGACGCUCAGGCACGAAAGCGUGGGGAGCAAACAGG